rnacentral:rRNA from 1 species
GACGAACGCUGGCGGCGUGCUUAACACAUGCAAGUCGAACGGAAAGGCCCUGCUUGCAGGGUCCUCGAGUGGCGAACGGGUGAGUAACACGUGGGUGAUCUGCCCUGCACUUCGGGAUAAGCCUGGGAAACUGGGUCUAAUACCGGAUAGGAGCCAUUUUUAGUGUGAUGGUUGGAAAGUUUUUUUCGGUGUAGGAUGAGCUCGCGGCCUAUCAGCUUGUUGGUGGGGUAAUGGCCUACCAAGGCGGCGACGGGUAGCCGGCCUGAGAGGGUGGACGGCCACAUAGGGACUGAGAUACGGCCAAGACUCCUACGGGAGGAAGCAGUGGGGAAUAUUGCACAAUGGGCGCAAGCCUGAUGCAGCGACGCCGCGUGGGGGAUGACGGCCUUAGGGUUGUAAACUCCUUUCGCUAGGGACGAAGAUUUUUGUGACGGUACCUAGAUAAGAAGCACCGGCUAACUACGU